AAUAGAUACCCCGGUAGUCCACGCCGUAAACGUUGGGCGCUAGAUGUGGGGACCAUUCCACGGUUUCCGUGUCGCAGCUAACGCAUUAAGCGCCCCGCCUGGGGAGUACGGCCGCAAGGCUAAAACUCAAAGGAAUUGACGGGGGCCCGCACAAGCGGCGGAGCAUGCGGAUUAAUUCGAUGCAACGCGAAGAACCUUACCAAGGCUUGACAUAUACCUGAAAAGGCUGGAAGCAGUCUCCCCGCAAGGCAGGUAUACGGAGUGGUGCAUGGUUGUCGUCAGCUCGUGUCGUGAGAUGUUGGGUUAAGUCCCGCAACGAGCGCAACCCUCGUUCUAUGUUGCCAGCGCGUAAUGGCGGGAACUCAUAGGAGACUGCCGGGGUCAACUCGGAGGAAGGUGGGGAUGACGUCAAAUCAUCAUGCCCCUUAUGUCUUGGGCUUCACGCAUGCUACAAUGGCCGGUACAAAGGGCUGCAAUCCGNAAGGUGGGCAAUCCGAAAAGCCGUNUCAGUUCGGAUUGAGGU
rnacentral:rRNA from 1 species